rnacentral:lncRNA from 12 species
UUACAAGAGUUACGUUUUUUUUUUCUUUUUCAUACCAGAUUAAUAUGUAUUUUCUAUUAGAAGGGAUCUAAAUGCAUUGUAGGGAACUUGGAAAAUCAGAGACAGAAAAAAAAAUUACUCUAAUCCCCUCCUUUUAACCCAGUUACUGAUGUCUUUUAGUGUAACUUUUGUGUGAUUUCCUUUUCCUGAUUUGUAUUUGGAACGUUUAAACCUAAUAUUAUAAGCAGUUGCUCAGAUUUUGCAGAAUCUCCAUAACCGUCCCUUUUAAUGGUUUCAUAAUAAUCCAUCAAGUGGAUGUACCGCUUAAUUAAUUUGAACGUUCUCCAGUUUUGAACACUCAGGUUAUUUUCUCUCUUUGCUGCUGUUGUGGCUGUUUUAUGUGAUAUGAUCAUGCUAUCUGGAACAUUUUUCUGAAUUGGAGACUAUUUCCUCAUGAAUGUUUCAGUCAAUAUUUCUAUUGCUUUUGGUACGUUUUGCCAAAUUGCUUCAUGAGAGGGCUGUGCAAGUAAUUAUCCAGCAAAUGUGUGGCUAGAGAUGUUUAUUUUUUAAUUCUGGAUUCUUCAUUAGAAUCACUCAGCUCAGCGAGAUGGAAGUCGGAGGCAAGAAAAUGCCACCUCUGGGCUGCAGUGUGGCUUCAGAGCAGUAUGCAAGGUUGUAAAUUAAACUUUAUGAGACAUUGGCAUGAAGUUGAGGGCAGAAGACUCCAUCAAAGUGGACCGAAAACAAAGAUGUGGUGAUAUGUGCAAACAAGUGUUAGCAUUUGUCAAAUGCCGGAACAUUUUCUGGAGAAAAGCAUGACGUCUAAAAAAGUCGUUAAUGUUGUGGAGGCG